CGGGAUCCGUCCCGUUGGAAAGGAAUGUAGCUCACCAAUGAGCCGAACCUUACA
rnacentral:ncRNA from 1 species